rnacentral:rRNA from 1 species
UGGGAGGGAUCGUGAGGGUGCUAGACACGGCCUGAAGUAUUUAUUGAAUGUUGUCUCACUGCCCAGAGAGGGUGUAAGGCCCGUAAGGCCGUCGUCUAGUUACCUCGCCGGUUCCUCUCGAGAGUCGGGUUGCUUGAAAGUGCAGCCCUAAGUAGGUGGUAAACUCCAUCUAAGGCUAAAUAUUCCCACGAGACCGAUAGCGAACAAGUACCGCGAGGGAAAGUUGAAAAGAACUUUGAAAAGAGAGUUCAAGAGAGCGUGAAACUACCACGAGGAUAAAGCGAGUGAGCGUUCGUAUCCGAGCGGUGGGAUUCAGUUUCACCCCCGGGCGGGCGGCGGAGGGUCGCAAUACGCAACAUUACGGAUCUCCCCCGGGACCUCGGUCGGCGCUCGCGUCGAUCGAAUCCGUUCCGAGGGGCGACCGGCGUAUCCUCCGUUCGUCCGUUCGAAAAGGGGGACGCAGUUCCCUGCCGCGUCGGGCGUCGCGGCCGUUCUCGGAGGUGUCGAAGACACGGGGGUCUGGGAAACCGCAUCUUCGCGUCCUGGGAAUCGCGGCUUCGGCUUCGCGCCGUCGCUUAGCGCCCGGGGUUACGCGUCGAGCGGGGCCGCCCCGUUCGAUCUGACGGCCUCU